UACGUAGGGAGCUAGCGUUAUUCGGAAUUACUGGGCGUAAAGCGCACGUAGGCGGUCUUGUAAGUAGAGGUGAAAGCCUCGGAGCUCAACUCCAGAAUUGCCUUUAAGACUGCAUCGCUUGAAUCCAGGAGAGGUGAGUGGAAUUCCGAGUGUAGAGGUGAAAUUCGUAGAUAUUAGGAAGAACACCAGUGGCGAAGGCGGCUCACUGGCCCGGUACUGACGCUGAGG
rnacentral:rRNA from 1 species